rnacentral:rRNA from 1 species
AUUGAACGCUGGCGGCAGGCCUAACACAUGCAAGUCGGGCGAUCGGCGGCCGGGUGCGUAAUGUAUCGUGAUCUGCCUGAUGGCGGGGGUUAACUACUGGAAACGGUAGCUAAUUCCGCCUAUCUUUAGAUGAACCCAUAUGGGAUUAGCUUGUAGGUGAGGUAUCGGCUCACCUAGGCGACGAUCCCUAGCUGGGCUGAGAGGAUGAUCAGCCACACUGGGACUGAGACACGGCCCAGACUCCUACGGGAGGCAGCAGGGGGGAAUAUUGCACAAUGGGCGCAAGCCUGAUGCAGCCAUGCCGCGUGUAUGAAGAAGGCCUUCGGGUUGUAAAGUACUUUCAGUCGGGAGGCGUUACCGACAGAAGAAGCACCGGCUAACUCCGUGCCAGCAGCCGCGGUAAUAC